rnacentral:misc_RNA from 1 species
GUUCUUCCCCAAAAGAGUGCUCAAUAACCUCACCCUGAACUGUAACACGGAGAGAUCCGUGAAUUGUUUCGGGUGGUUGAGACAAUAUGGCAAGAUGGGCGGGGCCACCUCCUCUUCCCACUGUACCACCUCUACCAUGGAACAUGGUUAGCUUCACGUCGAACUCCUUGGCGACUUGUAUAAGCUCCUCUUGAGCCUUAUA